CUCUUCGCUCGGCUGUGUUGCGGAAACUACUAGAAACACAUUCGUGAGUAACAGAAACUGAUAUCUAGCUGUGGAGACAGUUUGUAACUAUACUCAUUUAAACCCGAACAUAUCUGUUGCUUUCUGGUAUGUUGACAUUUUGUUCGCAAAUAACUUCCUUUUGAUGACUCCGUCAAACAGCGUAGAGUUAAACAGUUUAUUUCAGCCUCAUUUUACUUUUGUUGCUGCACGUAAAUGUAAUACAAGAGUCUAAGCUGCCAAGUAGUUUCAACCAGGACUUUGCUGUCGGGGUGUCGCUCUCUCUAUGAUCAACGUGAAAUGACAAGUCCGCAUAAAGUGACGAGAUAAAGUGGCGAGUCGUGAAGACAACCACCGUCCACAGCUGCGGCGCCAUUGGUUCUGUGUCGAGACCGACGUGUUCAGUGCAGCUGGGUCCGGUGUCGAUCGAGUUGCAGGGGCGCUGAGGUCAAGGCUCAUGAGAUAAGACUGACGCUCGAUUCAAAAUGUCCAACUCGGGCGGCAAUGUGGCCAAGACGUUGAACUUCAACGUCGGGGUGCUGGGACAUGUGGACAGCGGCAAGACCUCCCUUGCCAGGGCGCUCAGCAGCACCGCGUCCACUGCCGCCUUUGACAAGAACCCGCAGUCCCGGGAGAGGGGCAUCACCCUGGACCUGGGCUUCUCCUCCUUCACCGUGGACUUUCCCCAGCACCUGCAGGAGAGCGACACCCAGCAGCGGUAUGGAAGCCUCCAGUUCACCCUGGUGGACUGUCCAGGACAUGCUUCUCUCAUUCGCACCAUCAUUGGAGGGGCUCAGAUCAUUGACCUGAUGAUGCUGGUGGUGGAUGUGGUGAAGGGGAUCCAGACUCAGACGGCCGAGUGUCUGCUGAUAGGAGAGCUCACGUGCCCUCGCAUGGUCGUCGUAUUGAACAAGAUUGAUCUCCUGCCGGCCAAUAAGAGAGACGGCGCGAUAGAGAAAAUGACUAAGAGGCUCCACAAAACACUGGAGAGCACCAGGUUUAAGAAUUGUCCAGUCAUUUCUGUGGCAGCAAAGCCUGGUGGUCCUGAGGCCUCUGACACGGUGGAAGCACAAGGAGUGUCUGAGUUAAUAGAGCUGUUGAAGAAGCAGUGUUACGUCCCCCAGAGGAGUCCCGGUGGGGACCUGCUCAUGGCCGUGGACCACUGCUUCUCCAUCCGCGGCCAAGGAACAGUCAUGACCGGGACCAUCCUGCAGGGGUCGCUGGCGAUUAACGACACGUUGGAAAUACCAGCGCUCAAGGUUACCAAGAAGGUCAAGUCGGUGCAGAUGUUUCGGAAGCCAGUGUCAGGGGCCAUGCAGGGAGACCGUGUGGGGGUGUGUGUGACACAGUUUGACCCUAAAUUGCUGGAGCGCGGAGUCGUUUGCACGCCGGGGUCUCUGCGCACACUCUACGCUGCGGUGAUCUCUGUCAGGAAGAUCGGUUACUUCAAGGGAUCCCUGAGCACGCGUGCCAAGUUCCACAUCACGGUGGGACACGAGACCGUCAUGGCCAGGGUGACCUUCUUCGGGCUGCCUCCGGCCGGUGAUCCUCCGGACCCUCCUCAGCCUUGCUCUUUGGAUGCAGCAUUCACCUUUGACAGAGAAUAUCUCUAUCAGGACGAGUAUGUAGUCAGUCAGUCCAGUGCUGAAGCUGACCCAGAACAGUGGGCUCUGUUGGAGUUCGAGAGGCCAGUCACAUGUCCCACACUUUGCCUUGUGAUUGGCUCCAAACUGGACUCUGACAUCCAUGCCAAUGCGUGCCGCUUGGCCUUCCAAGGCCGGCUGCUUCAUGGGUUUGAGGAUAAGACCUAUGCUGAGACGGCCCUGCAGCGCCUUCGCAUCUACAAAACCAAACACAAGGAAGGACAAGUGGAGAGGGUGACUGAUGACUACACCGUGAUUGGCCGCAACCUGUUCAAGAAGGAGACCAACCUGCAGAUCUUUGUGGGGCUAAAGGUCACACUGUCGACGGGCGAGUCCGGGCUCAUCGAGGGCAGCUUCGGUCAGAGCGGGAAGUUCAAGAUUCGGAUUCAAGUUCAGUCGAUGAUGACAGAAUAAAGAUCCAGGCGGCUGGCGGCGGCCGGACGCUACGACCUGGUGAGAAAAGCGGAGCCAUCCCGGCGACCUCUGGCUUUGGCUCUGCAUGACCGUGCUGGAGGCAGACGAACCCACAGUGCGGUUUAGGAAAUGAGGGACAGCUCUGUGCUGCAUGAACAACAUAGCGAUGCGCUUUGACAUUGUUUGUGUCCACAGGUCGUCCAGUUCAGACAUUGCUGAUGUGCAGGAAAGAUUAUGACUGCUGACCCGUCGCAGCUCCCGACACCGGCUCCAGAUCCUCGGCCCUGCAGGAUGGGCGCCGCCACCAGUUUGUCUCUGCAAGGUGGAUGAGUGCAAUCUGGAGAAGCCUGAGAGGCGAGCAGGGCUCCCAGCCACAGGGACAGCAGGGCCAGCAUCCUUACAGACCCACGUGCAACCAUCAUGAGGAUUGGCAGUUGCAAACAGUCGGAUGAAGCGUUCUCCUCUGCACUUAUCUCCUCAUCCCUCUGAGCUCUUCCUUUCGUCCUCCCCUCUGAAAACGACCCUUCAGGUUAACCCUUUUCCACGUCUUUCUCCUGGUCCUUGUUUUAGUCUACACUUCUGUCAUCCGCUGCUUCAGUCUAUUUCUUCUCCCUGCCACGUCUUUUCUCCUCUGCUCUGGUUCUGUUUGUCAAGUUACUUUGGCUCAGAUUCCUAGAUAACUGCGGCACUCUUUGCUGUCUGACACGGGCUGGUGCACCCACCCCCUGACACACACACACACACGCACACCCACACAGAGACACACACACAGCCUUUCCAUUUCCAACAUAGCCAACAACUGACUAUGAAGUUAACUCAGACACAUUCUCUCUCUCUCGCGCGCUCUCACACACAUCACCCUUUCCCCAGCCUCUCACCCUAAACCUAACCAACCAAAACAAAUGGCUGACCUGAACCAGGACUCUGAACCAAACUUAAACCUGCUUAUAGUUAUUUUGACAUUAUCACCCUCAAAACUCUAGGUGGACCGGACAAAACGUCCACACAAAGAUAAAUGUCCCCAUAGGGUCAAAGAUUGAUCCACACAAGAAUAUGAAUGCAUGUACAGGCCAACAAAUGAACAUGUGUGUACAUGCGCAUACAAUAAGGAACACGACACAUACGCCCAUACACUCAUUGAAGAAUGCCUGAAUAUAUGUGAUGUUAGCUAAGAAACACACAAGAAAAACCUGUGCGCACCAACACACAAAUUCACAGAAUGCAUUGCAUUGGUACAUACACUUAAUGUCUUUCAUUUGCACACUGAGACACAUCCAAAACACACGGCAGUGCACACACACUUGCACAUUUCCUUGUUUUGUGGGGACAUUUCAUUGACUUUCAGGCUUUCCUCAGCCUCCCUCCUUGAGCCUAACCAUCCCAAAAACAUGGCUAACCUUGAACAGGAACUAAACCAAACUUAAAACCUGUUACAACAUCCCAGUUAUUGUUUUAAUCCUCAAAUUGAAAAAAUUCACAACAACAACAGUGCCCGUAUAAACUCCCAGCAGCGACUGAAGUCAUGGCCUCUGCCUCAUCGCUCUUCCCUGUCACGUCGAAGGAAAUGCAAAACGCAGCAGAUGCCUCAGGUAUGUGCUUCCUCCACUUUCGUCGGUCAUUUUGGCACUUUUGCUCUUUUGUGUCCCUGUGUUUGUGUUUACAAACCGAGUUCCGAGGCAGCAAUAAAGACUGGACGCUCAAUAGGUGUGAGAGGGAAGGAAUUCCUCUUUAAACACCAGAGCACAUCAGGACCCUGCAGAGGCGCGCUGUCACUAACAAGGAGCCCAAACAGACCCAGAACAGCGCACACGCACACACACACACAUAUUCAAAUAUAGAGCAGGGAAGUUUCAGAGAAAACCAGGUAUUGGCGGGUUUGUGUGGUUUAACUCCCAUCUGGCGUAGAGUUGUUCCCUGAUACACAUUUGUAUAUUUGUAAAUAUGUUGAGUUGACUGCCUAUAUGAUGACGACCUGCUUGCACUGACCAUUUUUACUUAUUUCUGUCUUGCACUGACAACCUAAGAGCUCCUGUAACAGUGAAUUUCUCCUUGCUGAGAUCAAUAAAGUCUAUCUUAUCUUAUGUAAUUAGCCAAGAUAGCAGAAGUAUUCAUGCAAUGAAGAAUGAGAAUAUUCCAUACUUUCGAAAUUUCAAGUCAUACAGCACAAAAAAACAGGUGGCAAAGGGAUUCAUUCAGACUUUGUUGGACUAUUGUACGAUUGAAAUGUCAGGUACAGAUUGUGGUGGUUCAACAGCAUUGGUUUGACUGUCGGUGUUGAAAAUAACCUGGAAAGUUAUGGACAGAAUUAUUAUUGGGCAUUACAAGGUCUGAAUUCUCUAUGGGCUUUUCUAGUUACUUUUCAUUUCAGCUAAUUUCAGCUCUUCUUUCCUCACUUUGAAAAAAGUGCAAAGAUGGGGAUUGGCAGCUGCAGGCCUCAGGCCAUGGACCUAAAAAAAAAAGCGAGACAAACUUUAGGUUUUGUUUAUUUGAGGAAUUGUUUGUGAGGGAUUGGAUGUUGGAGCCUGCGCCUGAAAUGAUCAUCAAAGCAGCAGGAGUAAUUGGAGCCAGUGAUGACAAAACAAUGUGGCCUAUUAAGGAGGUUCUCCAAGCAUAUCCAACAGGGAGGGAAUCCUGGGGCAGACCCUGGUUCAGCCUGGGGAGAAAACAUUGUGUCUGCAGUGCACCAGCUUGCGUGUGGAUCCCUGUUCAUUUUUCUCAGUAGCCCGUGGAGUAAAUCAUUAUAGAAUUUGAUUGAGCAAAAUGUUUUGGCCCCCUGAGCUUUGAGUGUGGCACGUAUGGCACAGGACUCUAAAUUUAGGUGAUGAAAUCUUCACAGCGUCUAAACAUAAAACAUUAAAAUUAAAAAAUUAAAUUAAUUAAAUUAAAAAGGACUGAAGAAAAAAA